AUGAAGCGAACCCACAGCCACCAUGAACAGCCAACCUACCCUGUGCAGCCUCCUGGGAAUCCAGUAUGCCUCAGACCUUGCAUAUUCCUCAGGCACCACCCUAUAUUGAUGCUCCACCUGCCUACUCAGAGCUCUAUCAUCUGAGCACUGUGCACCCAGAGUCCCCACCAUGUCAGCUGUAUUUCCUGGAGCCUCUCUGUAUCUUCCCAUGGCCCAGUCUGUGGCUGUUGGGCCUUUAGGUUCCACAAUCCCCAUGGCUUAUUAUCCAGUGAGUCCCAUCUAUCCAGCUGGCUCUAUAGUGCUGGUGGAAGGAGGGUAUGAUGCAGAUGACAGAUUUGGAGCUGGGCUACCACUGGCAACACUCCUCUUUCACCUCCUAGAUGCCCUCCCAAUGCUGCCCAGCUUGCAGUCAUGCAGGGAGCCAACAGCCUUAUAACUCAGCGGAAGGGGAACUUCUUCAUGGGUGGUUCAGAUGGUGGCUACACCAUCUGCUGAGGAACCAAGGCCACCUUUGUGUUGGGAAUGACAUCAUAUACCUUCAGCACCUCUCGCAAUGUAACCCCUUUAGUCAUAUUAACCUGAAGUUGCAGUUUAGACACAUGUUUUUGGGGUGUCUUUCUGGUGUCCAAACUUUCAGGCAUUUUUCAAAUUUAAUAAAGAACCAUGUAAUGGUAGCAGUACCUCCCUAAAGCAUUUUGAAGUAGGGGAGGUAUCCAUUCAUAAAACAAAUAUGGGUGAAGCCACCCUAAGGAUCUUCCUUUAAUUUUUCUGGAGUAAUACUGUACUAUACUGGUCUUUGCUUUUAGUAAUAAAACAUCAAAAUAGGUUUGGAGGGAACUUUAUCUUCCUAAGAAUUAAAGUUGUCAAAUUAUUCUGAUUGGCCUCUAAUCUCCUUUAAGUCUUUGAUUUACAUUACUUGAUAUAAAUGGAACCCAUUAGUUGUCCCCAUCUUCCUUUCCAUCCCUUGCCCCACCCAUCCCAUCUGCAACCUUAUUCUUCCAGUUCUUCCUGCCAGUCUCCAUUGAAUCAACGGUGGAGGACAGAAAGCCAGUCAGACUAAUUUCCUCCUUUCCUCAAACUUCUCCCCACUUGUCGUCUUUUAACUAGUCCUUCACAAGGAUGCUCUAAAACUCCUUCUGUGCCUCAAGCACAGAUCUGCUUUCACAUCUCCUCAGGCAAAAGUAGACGGUGCCUUUGGGCCCUCCUCAUAGGUUGUCCCUGCCUGCACGAACCUAUCCCAAAUUUGCUUUGGUGCCAGAAAAACUAAGCUAUGUUUGUACAAAGAUAUCAUGCAAACUGUACUGU